GACGAACGCUGGCGGCGUGCUUAACACAUGCAAGUCGAACGGAAAGGCCCUGCUUGCAGGGUGCUCGAGUGGCGAACGGGUGAGUAACACGUGGGUGAUCUGCCCCUUACUUUGGGAUAAGCCUGGGAAACUGGGUCUAAUACUGGAUAGGACCAUGCUGUAGGUGGUGUGGUGGAAAGAUUAGUUUCGGUAAGGGAUGAGCUCGCGGCCUAUCAGCUUGUUGGUGGGGUAAUGGCCUACCAAGGCGUCGACGGGUAGCCGGCCUGAGAGGGUGGACGGCCACAUUGGGACUGAGUUACGGCCCAGACUCCUACGGGAGGCAGCAGUGGGGAAUAUUGCACAAUGGGCGCAAGCCUGAUGCAGCGACGCCGCGUGGGGGAUGACGGCCUUCGGGUUGUAAACUCCUUUCAGCCAUGACGAAGCCCUUGUGGUGACGGUAGUGGUAGAAGAAGCACCGGCUAACUACGUG
rnacentral:rRNA from 1 species